UUACGACCAUAUCAGGUUAAAACAUUGGUUCUCGUAUGGUCAAGGAGGUUAAGCAACGUCGAACCUGGUAAGUACGUAAAUGGGCGACCGCUUGGGAAUACUAGGUGCUGUAAG